GAGUUUGAUCCUGGCUCAGGAUGAACGCUAGCUACAGGCUUAACACAUGCAAGUCGAGGGGCAUCAUGACGGUAGCUUGCUACCGUUGAUGGCGACCGGCGCACGGGUGAGUAACGCGUAUCCAACCUACCCCCUACUCGGCAAUAGCCCGUCGAAAGGCGGAUUAAUGGCCGAUGCAGUCCAUUGAUGACAUCAGAUUUGGACGAAAGCUUUUUGCGGUAUGGGAUGGGGAUGCGUCUGAUUAGGCAGUUGGCGGGGUAACGGCCCACCAAACCGACGAUCAGUAGGGGUUCUGAGAGGAAGGUCCCCCACAUUGGAACUGAGACACGGUCCAAACUCCUACGGGAGGCAGCAGUGAGGAAUAUUGGUCAAUGGGCGAGAGCCUGAACCAGCCAAGUAGCGUGCAGGAUGACGGCCCUAUGGGUUGUAAACUGCUUUUAUAUGGGGAUAAAGUUAGUCACGUGUGACUAUUUGCAGGUACCAUAUGAAUAAGGACCGGCUAAUUCCGUGCCAGCAGCCGCGGUAAUACGGAAGGUCCAGGCGUUAUCCGGAUUUAUUGGGUUUAAAGGGAGCGUAGGCUGUUUUUUAAGCGUGUUGUGAAAUGUAGAUGCUUAACAUCUGAAUUGCAGCGCGAACUGGAAGACUUGAGUGCGCGGAAAGGUAGGCGGAAUUCGUCGUGUAGCGGUGAAAUGCUUAGAUAUGACGAAGAACUCCGAUUGCGAAGGCAGCUUACCGCAGCGCCACUGACGCUGAUGCUCGAAGGUGCGGGUAUCGAACAGGAUUAGAUACCCUGGUAGUCCGCACAGUAAACGAUGGAUGCUCGCUGUCCGGCCUUUACGGCCGUGUGGCCAAGCGAAAGCGUUAAGCAUCCCACCUGGGGAGUACGCCGGCAACGGUGAAACUCAAAGGAAUUGACGGGGGCCCGCACAAGCGGAGGAACAUGUGGUUUAAUUCGAUGAUACGCGAGGAACCUUACCCGGGCUUGAACUGCCAGCGAACGAUUCAGAGAUGAUGAGGUCCUUCGGGACGCUGGUGGAGGUGCUGCAUGGUUGUCGUCAGCUCGUGCCGUGAGGUGUCGGCUAAAGUGCCAUAACGAGCGCAACCCCUUUCGUCAGUUGCCAUCGGGUCAUGCCGGGCACUCUGGUGAUACUGCCGCCGCAAGGUGCGAGGAAGGUGGGGAUGACGUCAAAUCAGCACGGCCCUUACGUCCGGGGCUACACACGUGUUACAAUGGCAUGUACAGAGAGCUGUCUGCAGGCAACUGCAGGUGAAUCCCUAAAACAUGUCUCAGUUCGGACUGGGGUCUGCAACCCGACCCCACGAAGCUGGAUUCGCUAGUAAUCGCGCAUCAGCCAUGGCGCGGUGAAUACGUUCCCGGGCCUUGUACACACCGCCCGUCAAGCCAUGAAAGCUGGGGGCGCCUGAAGUCCGUGACCGCAAGGGACGGCCUAGGGCGAGACUGGUAAUUGGGGCUAAGUCGUAACAAGGUAACCGUA
rnacentral:rRNA from 1 species